AAUAAACCAAUUUUUCACUUUUUACCUUUAAUUUUUGACUUAUCGUCUUAUUUAAAAUUUUUUUGCGAUUGAUAUUUUUGUUUUUAUUAGAUGAUAAAUCAUGAAUAAUACUUUAUGUGUGACUAAUUUUUUGAAAAUUUUUCAAAUAAAACGGAUAGUCAAACGUUAGACACGGAAACCGAAGAAUUCGUUUUUU
rfam:Oryza brachyantha chromosome 3, whole genome shotgun sequence.